CUAGAAGGUGGAGAUGGAGAAGAAGUGAAAGAAUCUUAAGGUGCUAGAACUUAAGGGUUUCUUGGAGAAGGUGGACCUUUUGAUAGAGCAAGCAGAGAUUGUUAGUAAUGCUAUAGUGAAAUCUGGUGCCAAUUAAGAUACAUGGCAUGGUUGCAGUUACUAGAUGGUAACAAGCAUUUGUGUUGUGUAUAUGUCAUUGGCAUAAAUUUUAGGCUUCUUAAACUUGUGGAUGAGGAUGUAAGAGAUCUACUCGUGGCUGCGAGCUUUGUACUUGCUGCUUCUGAAGCAGUUGCAGACAGAAGAUCUUCUUCUCAAAGAAAGUGGUGGGAGGCUUAUGGAAGAUUGUACAAAAAGGUAUAAGAUGAAUGGUGGUGUGAACCAGGCCAUGGGGAUUGGUGUACUUUUUUGGAGAAGUAUACACUCUAUCGUGAUG